AUGUGCUUGGUGAAGGUGAGUUGGUCUGGUUGCCAUCAUCCUUCCCAUUAUCCAUCCCCGUCAACCCUUCCAUCAUCCUUCCCAUCAUCUUCCCACGAUCCUUCUCCAUCAUCCCUUCCGUCAUCCUUCCCAUCAUCAUCCUCCUCCUGCAUCAUCCUCCCAUCAUAUUCCCAUUAUCCUUCUCCAUCAUCCCUUCUGUCAUCCUUCCCAUCAUCCUUCUCAUCCUCCUCCUCCAUCAUCCUCCCAUCAUCUUCCCCUUCUCAUCCUUCUCCUUCUCCAUCAUCCCUCCCAUCAUCCUUCCCAUCAUCCUUCUUUUCCUCCAUCAUCCUCCCAGUCAUCCUUCUUAUCCUCCUCCUCCUCUAUCAUCCCUCCCAUCAUCCUUCUCAUCAUCCUUCCCAUCAUCCUUCUCAUCCUCCUCCUCCAUCAUCCCUCCCAUCAUCCUUCCCAUCAUCUUCCCACGAUCCUUCUCCAUCAUCCCUCCUGUCAUCCUUCCCAUCAUCCUUCUCAUCCUCCUCCUCCAUCAUCCUCCCAUCAUCUUCCCAUUCUCAUCCUUCUCCUUCUCCAUCAUCCCUCCCAUCAUCCUUCCCAUCAUCCUUCUUCUCCUCCAUCAUCCUCCCAGUCAUCCUUCUUAUCCUCCUCCUCCUCUAUCAUCCCUCUCAUCCUCCUCCUCCAUCAUCCCUCCCAUAUCCUUCCCAUCAUCCCUUCCGUCAUCCUUCCCAUCAUCCUUCUCAUCCUCCUCCUCCAUCAUCCCUCCUGUCAUCCUUCCCAUCAUCCUUCUCAUCCUCCUCCUCCUCCAUCAUCCUCCUGUCAUCCUUCUCCAUCAUUCUUCUCCAUCAUCCUUCCCAUUAUCCGUCUCCAUCAACCCUUCCAUCAUCCUUCCCAUCAUUCUCCCAUUAUCUUCCCAUCAUCAUCCUGUCAUCCUCCCGUCAUCCUCCCAUUAUCCUUCUCCAUCAUCCUCAUGAUCCUCCCAUCAUCCUUCUCAAUCAUCCUCCCAUGAUCCUCCCAUCAUCCAUCCCCAUCAUCCUUCUCAGUCAUCCUCCCAUCAUCCUUCCAUCAUCCUCCUAUGAUCCUCCCAUCAUCCUUCUCAAUCAUCCUCCCAUAAUCCUCCCAUCAUCCAACCCCAUCAUCCUCAAUCAUCCUCCCAUGAUCCUCCCGUCAUCCAUCCCCAUCAUCCUUCUCAAUCAUCCUCCCAUCAUCCAUCCCCAUCAUCCUUCUCAAUCAUCCUCCCAUCUUCCUUCUCCAUCGUCCUUCCUGUCAUCCCCAUCAUCCUUCUUCAUCAUUCUCCCAUCAUCCUUCUCCAUCAUCCUCCCAUCAUCCAUCCCCAUCAUCCUUCUCAAUCAUCCUCCCAUCAUCCUUCCAUCAUCCUCCCAUCAUCCAUUCCCAUCAUCCUUCUCAAUCAUCCUCCCAUCAUCCUUCCCCAUCAUCCUCCCAUCAUCCAUCCCCAUCAUCCUUCUCAAUCAUCCUCCCAUGAUCCUCUCAUCAUCCAUCCCCAUCAGCCUUCUCAAUCAUCCUCCCAUCAUCCUUCCAUCAUCCUCCCAUCAUCCUCCCAUCAUCCUCCCAUCAUCCAUCCCCAUCAUCCUUCUCAAUCAUCCUCCCAUCAUCCUUCCAUCAUCCUCCCAUGAUCCUCCCAUCAUCCAUCCCCAUCAUCCUUCUCAAUCAUCCUCCCAUGAUCCUCCCAUCAUCCAUCCCCAUCAUCCUUCUUCAUCAUCCUCCCAUCAUCCUUCUCCAUCAUCCUUCCCAGCCUGUGACGCCCUUUCCUGGUGCCGCCCAUGCUCUGCUCUCCCAGUUGUCACCAGAGGGCGCCUGUAA
rnacentral:lncRNA from 13 species